rnacentral:rRNA from 1 species
AUGGUUUGGUGGACUGAGAUCUGUAAGCCUCGCGAUGAGGGCGGACUCGGGAUCAUGUCCUCCAAAAGCAUGAACAGUGCCCUCCUGACUAGGUGGCUUUGGCGGAUUGCGAACGGAGAGGGUGGCUUGUGGCUCCGCAUCAUCCAGCAGAAAUACCUCCGUGGCCAGCUAGUCGCCUUCUGUCAACGGUCCGCUGGCUCCCAGUUCUGGCAAUCCAUCAUAUAG